UACAGAGGUCCCAAGCGUUGUUCGGAUUCACUGGGCGUAAAGGGUGCGUAGGUGGCCAGGUAAGUUCGGUGUGAAAGCUCGGAGCUUAACUCCGAAAUGUCAUUGAAUACUAUCUGGCUGGAGGGUCGGAGGGGAGACUGGAAUUCUCGGUGUAGCAGUGAAAUGCGUAGAUAUCGAGAGGAACACCAGUGGCGAAGGCGAGUCUCUGGACGACUCCUGACACUGAUGCGCGACAGCGUGGGAGCAAACAGG
rnacentral:rRNA from 1 species